rnacentral:rRNA from 1 species
AUUGAACGCUGGCGGCAGGCCUAACACAUGCAAGUCGAGCGAGCGGCGGACGGGUGAGUAAUGUCUGGGAAACUGCCUGAUGGGGGGGGAUAACUACUGGAAAAGGUAUCUAAUACCGCAUACCAUCGGAUGUGCCCCGAUGGGAUUAGCUAGGAGGUGGGGUAACGGCUCACCUAGGCGACGAUCCCUAGCUGGUCUGAGAGGAUGACCAGCCACACUGGAACUGAGACACGGUCCAGACUCCUACGGGAGGCAGCAGUGGGGAAUAUUGCACAAUGGGCGCAAGCCUGAUGCAGCCAUGCCGCGUGUAUGAAGAAGGCCUUCGGGUUGUAAAGUACUUUCAGCGGGGAGGCGUUACCCGCAGAAGAAGCACCGGCUAACUCCGUGCCAGCAGCCGCGGUAAUUC